CUCCCCUGGGCAGCACAGCGGAACUGAGUCUAUUGACAGGGGUGCAGGUGAACUGGCAGGAGAAUGUGAGCACCCAAGAUCUGGCCCAUGUGGUGGUGGGGCUGGGGAGAGACACUGCCUGUGGCAGGUGGGAGAGCCGCCUUGAGGUCUUAAGAUUGGGAGAGCUAUCCCUGGCCCUCACCAGCUGCAGCACUUGGGAGAGUGACCCGCUGCACUUUGCCUAGGCGGCACAGAACUGGCCCUGAAGAUGUAGGAGUGGGAGAACUGACCCCGAGGGCUUGUAAGCAGAACUGGCUCCACCCCUUGGUCAUCACUGCAAGGGGUGAACUAGCCAGGGCAAUGCUGGAGAGCUCACCUUCCUGGUGAAGACAGGGGAGAACUGGCAGGCUGGCCAACCCUGCAGCUACUCAGGCCCAGAGACAAGGUCAGCCCACCCCAACAUCCAUCCCAUCUGUGAGCUGCUGGAGCAUGUGAAGGGUCCGGUCCUGCAGACCCAAAGCUGCAGGAUCUCCAUGACACAGGGCAACAACAGGACAUCCAAGAAGAGUCCCAGUUGAGUAUUCUCAGGCCCAGUAGUUGCCUCCAUCUGCCCUGGAACAGAAGGAGCUGUGUUUGCCAGCUGAGUGCCACUGUGGGUACUGGAGGAGCUGGAGCCCAGAGGUCCUGAGAGCGGCACUGGGACUGUGGCACGCCAGGGACUCUGGGUGGCAGUGGAUGUAGCUGGAGCAGCGGAAGCAACUAGAUGCAGCAGGAGAAACACAUUAGUUCAUUAGUUCAUGUCCCUUUCCUCUUCUGCAUUGCCGCUUCAUAUGUCAGUGGAUCCCAGGAAAUUUAGAAAAGAACUGAGGAUUAGAGACUGGACUUGACAGUAAGUUGGAAAAGGCAUCUUGCCCUUUAGGGGAAAAUGACUGGACAGAUGGGGAGCAAGGUCACAAAGAGCCAGUGAGGAAGGCAGAGACUAUUUCCUGAAGUAAAGUGGAUAAAAUGCCUGCGUGGGAGCCAGAGUCAGCACGUGGUGCCCAGCAGAGUCGUUUGAGAAAGCAAGAAAUUCCCAAGCAAGCGCAGCCCUGGUGAGAACUCUAAAAUGUGAGGAAAAGUUUUAAAUGUCACAAGAAUGAGGCCACCAAGCCCGAGCAGGAGACCAUGCUUACCUGGGCCAAGGCCACCUGGUGUAUCAACUCACUGAGGACUCUGAUACCAUAAAGAUAAGGGAUCCCAGCAGAACUUUCCUGUUCAUUGUGGUUCUUGCCUGAAUUGUGCACUGUGAACCACAGCCAAAACAAUGGCUGGUGCUACACUUCUGACUGGGGCAAUUCUAGCAAUCUCCUUCAAUCUCCUUCCUGUUCUGUGUUUAAGCUGUAAAAAUUCAGCCCCUGCCAGUGAUGCUUGGGGAGCACAUAUUCCUGGCAACUUGAGGUAUGAUUGGUAACUAUAGCAUGGCAACAUACCCAGAGGAGGAAGUCAGAUUGCUCAGGUGAUGGUCUGGAAAGUCAAAUUCUAACAAGCUGUUGUUCUCAACUCAGAGUGGGGCAAACACUGUCUCAGCAAGUGGGCAGCAGUGUGGAAACGGAAAAGCACUCAAGAACUAGAGCUGGAGAUGUGGGCUCUGAGAUGCUGCGGGGGUCCAUGAAGGAGUGGGGGGUGACAUGGUUUUGAGUAAAGGACCUCUCACCCCAAACAGCAGCACAUGUCCUGUUUAGUUGAAGCAGGAGGGAGAGAACAGAGCACACUCUGGGCUGGGCUCCUGGAAACACAAAUACAUCACAGUUCCUGGUCUCAGAUCCUUUGGUCCACAGGGUUGCUUGAAGGCAAUUUGUGACUUGAAUAAAAUAUAUGGAAGGUGAAGGCAGUGUCCUGAAAUCAAGAUGGGAAUGGGCUGUGCAACUGCUAACAACGGUCAAAGACAUCAUCAGACCAGAGUCACAUUACACCAGGAACCUGGGUAGAAGGGGGACCAAAACCUGUCUGGUAAUGUUAGGGGGAGGGGAAGGCAGCUUCCUGUGGGUGCUGGGUGGGAGCAGGAUUGGAGCAUGCAGGAAACAGUUCUCAGGAAGCCACUGCUUUUCCUCAGUAGUGACAGCAGUCCUCGAGAUUCGCCUGUGGCCUAGAGAUGAGGUAUUGCUCCAGUCCAGUGUGGGCUGAACCAAUGUGCUGCAGAUUGUGUGGAAUACAGGAAGUGAAGCGAGG